ACCCUUUAAUGUUUGAUGUUCUAACGUGGACCCGUGAUCCGGGUUGCGGACAGUGUCUGGUGGGUAGUUUGACUGGGGCGGUCUCCUCCUAAAGAGUAACGGAGGAGCACGAAGGUUGGCUAAUCCUGGUCGGACAUCAGGAGGUUAGUGCAAUGGCAUAAGCCAGCUUGACUGCGAGCGUGACGGCGCGAGCAGGUGCGAAAGCAGGUCAUAGUGAUCCGGUGGUUCUGAAUGGAAGGGCCAUCGCUCAACGGAUAAAAGGUACUCCGGGGAUAACAGGCUGAUACCGCCCAAGAGUUCAUAUCGACGGCGGUGUUUGGCACCUCGAUGUCGGCUCAUCACAUCCUGGGGCUGAAGUAGGUCCCAAGGGUAUGGCUGUUCGCCAUUUAAAGUGGUACGCGAGCUGGGUUUAGAACGUCGUGAGACAGUUCGGUCCCUAUCUGCCGUGGGCGCUGGAGAACUGAGGGGGGCUGCUCCUAGUACGAGAGGACCGGAGUGGACGCAUCACUGGUGUUCGGGUUGUCAUGCCAAUGGCACUGCCCGGUAGCUAAAUGCGGAAGAGAUAAGUGCUGAAAGCAUCUAAGCACGAAACUUGCCCCGAGAUGAGUUCUCCCUGAGACUUAGAGUCUCCUGAAGGAACGUUGAAGACGACGACGUUGAUAGGCC
rnacentral:rRNA from 1 species